GAUGAACGCUGGCGGCGUGCUUAACACAUGCAAGUCGAACGAAGCACUUUAUUUGAUUUCCUUCGGGACUGAUUAUUUUGUGACUGAGUGGCGGACGGGUGAGUAACGCGUGGGUAACCUGCCUUGUACAGGGGGAUAACAGUUGGAAACGGCUGCUAAUACCGCAUAAGCGCACGGCAUCGCAUGAUGCAGUGUGAAAAACUCUGGUGGUAUAAGAUGGACCCGCGUUGGAUUAGCUAGUUGGUGGGGUAACGGCCCACCAAGGCGACGAUCCAUAGCCGACCUGAGAGGGUGACCGGCCACAUUGGGACUGAGACACGGCCCAAACUCCUACGGGAGGCAGCAGUGGGGAAUAUUGCACAAUGGGCGAAAGCCUGAUGCAGCGACGCCGCGUGAGCGAAGAAGUAUUUCGGUAUGUAAAGCUCUAUCAGCAGGGAAGAUAAUGACGGUACCUGACUAAGAAGCACCGG
rnacentral:rRNA from 1 species